AUGAAAUUACUGAUAGGACGCAUGGAAGGUAGCUCCGUUUUGUACCAUCAAAAUAUGCAGAAGCCAGACAACAUAGUUUAGAUUGAGCCACCAUUAAAAUCGAUAGAGCAAUAUAUCCCCAAGCAACCAGGAGACAGUGAGCAGGUUAGUUAUACACAACAGCAAACCAAUCUGUGAGUAAAGCGACGCUGAGACUCAAACCAACUCUGAUUCCAAGCAAUACUGUUGGUAUGGAAGGGAACACAGAGAAUGGAGUGGAGUUCACAAGAGCCGAUGAAGCCCUAAACAGGCUGCAGAAAACCUUUCCAGUUGAAAGAGAGCCCAGUACCCAGCAGAGAGGCAGAAGUGGAAAAACAGAUAAGCACACUAGGCUACAAACAGUGACGCCCAAGACCAGUUUAUCGUAUAUUGAGACAAUAGUACUUCACCCUACCCCCAAUACAGUCAAGACUCUAUUGUCCCCAAGAACCUGUUGUUCUCUAAGAAGUAACGAUAGAAUUAGCCAAAGCCAAUGAGAUACAUGGACAUUGAAAAGACAAUAUAAAAGAGGAAAUUAGCACGGCUCCGCCAAGUGCCAUAUGGAGAGGGAUUCAGAAUGCUGCUGUCUACAAAAGAGGAUGAUGGGCAUGAUUGGGCAGUGACUUAAAAUGUCUGGAAGUUCAAUACGGGUGUUGAGAGAAGACAUGAAAGCAAGGGAUGGGGUCCCAUUUCAUAUCCUUACUGACCAGAAGGUGACAUCAACAAGGUUGAGACUCUGCCAACCGGACCUGAGCCCUAGGACCAUGCCUCAGGACUACCUGGUA